UACAGUUUAUCGGGGGCAAGCCUUUAUUGAAACUAAUCUUCAGGUGAACCUACAGAAAUGAAAAUUGACAUUCAUAGUCACAUUCUGCCUAAGGAGUGGCCUGAUCUAAAACAGAGAUAUGGCUAUGGUGGAUGGAUUCAGCUGGAGGAACACUGUGAGAGGGAAGCCAAAAUGAUGAAAGAUGGGAAACUUUUCAGAGUUAUCCAAGAGAACUGUUGGGAUCCAGAGGUUCGGAUUAAACAGAUGGACCAAUCAGGAGUCACUGUCCAGGCCCUUUCUACAGUUCCUGUCAUGUUUAGUUAUUGGGCCAAACCACAGGAUACUCUAGACCUGUGCCAAUUUUUAAAUAAUGACUUAGCCACUACUGUGAAGAAGUUCCCAAAGAGGUUUGUUGGCCUUGGCACCCUCCCCAUGCAAGCUCCAGACCUGGCUGUGAAGGAAUUGCAUCGUUGUGUGAAAGAGCUUGGAUUUCCUGGUGUGCAGAUAGGAUCUCAUAUCAACAACUGGAACCUAAAUGCCCCAGAACUCUUUUCAGUCUAUGCUGCUGCUGAACAAUUAAACUGCUGCCUCUUUGUGCAUCCCUGGGACAUGCAGACAGAUGGAAGGAUGUCUAAAUACUGGCUUCCCUGGCUUGUAGGAAUGCCCUCGGAAACAACCAUCGCUAUUUGCUCCAUGAUUAUGGGAGGGGUAUUUGAAAUUUUUCCCAAGCUAAGAGUUUGCUUUGCCCAUGGAGGUGGCUCUUUCCCUUAUACAGUGGGGCGCAUUUCCCAUGGAUUCAACGUGCGGCCUGACUUGUGUGCAGUGGAUAAUAACAUUGAUCCAAAGAAAUACCUUGGUUCAUUCUACACAGAUUCACUUGUUCAUGAUGCAUGUGCACUGAAGAUGCUAACGGAUGUAAUAGGAAAGGUGAGUGAGAUGGUGUUUAGCUAAAGACUGCAAGUAAGCUCUCUCUUUCACUUGAGUCUUUCGCACUGAAGAGCAAACUAGAUGUGAUGUAAAUAGUACCGUAGGCAUAGCCCCCCAUCCUAAUAUGGAUUGGGACCAUGACAGAUAGUGAGGGGUGGGGGUGGGGCUUUAAUCCUUUGGGCCCUGCUAUGGUCCCAGUUUGGAAAGGGCCCCCAUAUCUGAUAUUUGCCUUAGUAGAAAAGCUCCUGUUGGUGCAAAUGGGAAUUUGUCACCCUCUCUCUAACAUGCUCCAGUCUUUUAACUCUUCCACUUUCCAGGUUGGAAGGUGGGUUAGAAGGAAGAUUCAGCAUUAGGGCAUGCUGGAGAGAAAAUGGUGGCAUUUUGCUGGUGCUUUUCAAGGUUGCCCUUCCUAUUCUCUUCCCUAAUUCUGAGAUCACAAAGAUGAGAAGUGAUACUUGAACAUGCCAGCAGUCCACUUGAUCUAGAGCCUGGCCUUUUGACCUGUUCUGUCCUUAUUCACCAAUAAAAACCUAGUUGUUGAUACUUAAUAAAUCCAUUUGAUUGAUCCAGUUCCUCCUUUUUUACUUGCUGAGUAUUUUACCAGCAAACAAUGCUAAAAAUAAAACACAUCAACAAUGAUAUUAACAAAAGCUGAUACAGCAUGGAUUAAUCUAGCUCUUUAACUGUGGCUAAUUAUUGCUUAAGCACUAGGCUCUUGGAGAUUUGACACUGUCUGACUUUUAUACAGUCAGGUAGGAGAUGAUGAGGCACCACUGAUCACACUCCAACAAAUUGUAUCUGAAUUGUUUUAAUUUUGAAGGUUAUUUUAAUAUUCAAGAGCUUUGUGAGUCUUUUCCCCAGUGGAAUCAAUGCAACUUUCAGAAAAUCUCCAGAUGCUGUGGACUGUCUCUCAUAAAAUUUUCCACAUUUACUUCUAUCUCUCACUGAUGAAUUUAUACAGCUAGCUGGAAUGAAAUUAGAUACCUUCCACAUUCAGUAUCUGAGCACACAAUCAAAACUUAUGCAGGCCAUUGCAAAGAAAGAAAUCAUCAGCUGUCCUGAGCACACCCAGCCCAAGGAGGACAAAUGGCUAAGCAGCUGGAGCCCCUCCUUGAGCUUAUGCUCUGGACUGGACUGAUGGAGUAGUGGGUGGCCAGCCCUCAGCCCCAUACUUAAGUAUCCUCCUCUAACAGCACAAAGGCAAACAACCUGUGACUCCUUCAACACAGGAGUUGUCACUGUGCCUGUCUCCUCAAGCCCCUCCUGGUCCUGGGAGACAGCAGGGGAGGAGACAGAGGGGAUUCUGAUAGCUCCCUCCCUUUAAGCACCAUUUAUCCCUCAGCUUCUGGUACAUUCUGUCCUUCCUCCCUUGCUCCUGUCUCAUGGAAGGUGCAAAACUCAUAUAUCACUACUGACUUCCUGUGACAUCAGCUUUUGGCCCCGACACCUCUUCCACCCAUGCCUAUAUCUGCAACCCUCCUACCAACCCAGCAGUUUGAAAGCAUACCAGUGUAAGUAGAUAAAUAGGUAUCUAUGCAACCAUAGGGUCCAGGAAGGCCACAUUGACCUAUCAGCUCAAGCAGAGGGCCUGGUAAGAUAUGGCAGGGCAGCACCAUUAUGUAUAAAGCAGGGCCAGGCGAAGGUAAUGUUUUACAUCAAAAAUAGCGCACAGCUAAGGGGAAAUGAAUUCCCUCCCCUCAAGCCAGUUUGUGCAGACACCCAUAUCACUUUUAUCCAGGUAUGAGGACUGUCACCUCAUUUGUAACCCUCACCUCCCCAAAAGGCACUGAUUACCCGCAUGCAUUUUGGCCCCAUGCUGGAUAUGAUAUCAGACUAUGAGAAAAGUGGCUAUGAAACAGAAUGUGGAGACCUAAGUUACACAUUCUCUUCCUUUUAACCCAACAGGGUGUAAUUUGUUUCUCUAUUGACCUUCACUGAACUUUUAGCAACCAUGUAAGGCAAUGACUUUUGAAAGUAACAAUAUUUUCCAGCACCCUGUCUGCUCUGAUAACUGUUUCUAGAACAUCAGCACUCGGGUGGUGGAUUUGUUAUUCUGAGCAUUACGGUAUACGUUAUGAUAUAUGUUACCAUAAAACACAGUUCCAAGCUUAGAAUCUUAAGAGAAAGAGCAUCUGAAGUCCCUAAGGGCAUGUACUUUACGUAUACUUCACAUGUCAGAUUUUUUUACUUUAUACUGUACAUGGUUUAUACUGUACAUGGCUGUAUAUACCGUAGUAGACACAUGUAAGAGAUCUUGGCCAAUCACAGAUUUCCAGAACCUUUGUGCCCAAUAUUUCCUUUGUCAUCUAUGGCAUACAUCUCUUCCUUCAUACUUUACAAUAGCUUCCAAAAGACACAAGGCAGAUUGCAGUGGGCCUGUGCUUUGACAUAGCUGUGUUAAGAUUGAAGUGUAUAUUUCAGAAACCCCAUAGUGACACCUACUGGAGACAUUUUGCAGAGGGGAAAAUAUUUUUGUACAGAGCCUCCAGAAUUUCCUCCAAAAUCAAUGCUUUGGAUAUUUGUUCUGAUAUCAGUGACUGUAUUGUUUGUUUUUUCUAAGAUGUGUUUAUAACAUAUGUCUGUCUUCCUUUCUUCAAGGAACUCAAAAUGGCAUAAAUAAGGAAAUCUCAUUUUAUUAACCCUGUGAGGCAGGUUAGGCUCAGUGGCAGUACGUACUUGGAGCACCACAAAGACAACUCAACACUGAGUAAAUGUGAUAUCUAAAAGAAGCAGGGACAAAGUGAUGCUGGGAACAGAUUAUCCAUUUCCACUGGGAGAACAUGAACCUGGAAAACUUAUUGAAUCUAUGGAGUUUGAUGAUGAACUAAAG